UCCAGCUACAGGCCCAGCUGGGGGCCGCCAGGCAAGGAGCCAGGUUGGAGCCUGCUGGCGGGAGUCUGGGGCGCCUGUGGCUCCACACGGCCGUCCCCGUGAGAGACCUGGAACCGGAAGCAGCCAGGGUGGGGUCUGUAAUGACUCUGCAGUGCCCCUUGGGCCCCCUGGGCCCCUGGGUAUGACAACGACUAGGAAUGGCUGCCUGGGAAAUCCCUCCUGAGCCUUUUCAUAAUCUGGCAGCUGAGAGGUUAACCCCAACUCGUGGUGGAGCCAAUGCCUGCCUCCUCCAGAACUUGGAAGACACCUUGCAGAAGGGCAUCUCCUCCAAGUCAUCUUUGCGCCUCCAAAGCUAGCACAGCGCCUGGCACAUAUCGGCACCCCAUAAACAGUUGUCGACUAUACAAAUGAGCGUGUGCUAUGCAGGAGGUGCUACUCUAAGUUUGUUCACAUACAUCAUCUAAGUUGAAGGCAUAGCCAUCCUGAGAGAUCAUGGCGUUGCCGUGUCCGUUUUGUAGAUGAGAAAACUGAGACUGAAAGAGGGAACAUUUGACAUUCUGCCUGAAGUCUCACGGCUAAUAAGUUGCAAAGUCAAGAUCUGACUCCAGAUGUGAUACUUUCUUUUCAUUACCAUUGGGAUGUGUUAGUCACACCAUUUUAAAAGCCGUGAACGGUGCCGUCUGUGCUGGGGUUGAAGGCAGACAUUGAGCCUCAGAGGAGGGGACUGUGGGUGAUGCACUCAGGGAGGGGGACGGGGCUCUGUCCCUGUGGCUGUCACUAUCACGGUAGGUGGCUCCGUUUUUGUGUCUGUAGAUGCCCGGGGACUACAAACAGAAUUAUCGUCCUUCUGUUACGGGAUUUCUCAGAGUGGGCUGGCUGCAUCAGGACCCUCCCUGCAGCAGGUAUAAAAAUGCAGAUUCCUGGGUAUCCCAGAGCUACUAAAUCACACCUUCAGAGAGUCAACCCGGUCAAAUCUGCAUCGUAGCAGCUUUACCAUUCGCAGAAGCACAGCCUCGCGUGUGAGAACCUCUGCCUUCCAAGGGAGAGCCCAUGGUGGGAGCCGCAGGCCCAGCAGGAGGGGUUGUAACCAGGGACACACGUCCUGUGUUUGUGUUUGGGUCACCGAGGUGCACUGGGACUGUCCAGCGUGGUGAGAGGGCCCUGGGCCCGUCACAUGUGGUGGUGUCACAUCUCUGUCACACGGAGCUGCUGUGCUGUGAUAGGACCCAAUCAAAAGUACCAUCUCAGCUGACAUUUGGUGGAAGCAAGCUGCCAUGCCAAUUAUCCAGAAGCCUCUGCCACCAGACCACAGACCAGGGAAGUGGUGCCUUGAAGCAUUAAGUCUGUUUCUUUCCUUUUUCCUUCGUGUUUGUGGGAGUGUCCUUUGCUCUUCGCGUGGCUUCUGGGGUCAGAGAUUUCAAGGGCAGAAAAGGAGGGUCCAGAGGGGAGUACGGCACUUUAUAACUUCCCAAGAGAGGAACCGGGUGGGGCCCCCUGCUUUAUAGAGAAACAGCUGGAGAAAAAUGUCAACUGUGGUUGUUUGGGUGGAAGAGACUCUCUGAAUUUUUCCUCCAACUUCUCUGUCUCCUCGGGUUUUCUUUAACAGACACAGAGCCAUCACACCUACUGUUAUGUCAUGUGACAGACAGCGUCGUAAGCACUUUAUUUACCUCACCCCAUCCUCACAACCACCCUGUGAUGGGAGUACUAUUCUUUAAAAAAAAAAUUUUUUUUAAUGUUUAUUUAUUUCGGGG